UACGGAGGGGGCUAGCGUUGUUCGGAAUUACUGGGCGUAAAGCGCACGUAGGCGGCGCGACAAGUCAGAGGUGAAAGGCCUGGGCUCAACCUGGGAACUGCCUUUGAUACUGGCGUGCUUGAGUCCGGAAGAGGGUGGCGGAAUUCCCAGUGUAGAGGUGAAAUUCGUAGAUAUUGGGAAGAACACCGGUGGCGAAGGCGGUCACCCUGGUCCGGUACUGACGCUGAGGUGCGAAAGCGUGGGGAGCAAACAGG
rnacentral:rRNA from 1 species